rnacentral:rRNA from 1 species
GAUCAUGGCUCAGGAUGAACGCUGGCGGCGUGCCUAACACAUGCAAGUCGAGCGAGAAGUCAUGGAUGGAAUCUUCGGAGGAAAGAAGUGAUAGAAAGCGGCGGACGGGUGAGUAACGCGUAGGUAACCUGCCCCAUACAGAGGGAUAGCCACUGGAAACGGUGACUAAUACCUCAUGACACUUUCUCUUCGCAUGGAGGGAAGGUCAAAGAUUUAUCGGUAUGGGAUGG